UGAACUCCACAUAUCGUUCUC
ensembl:piRNA 21ur-1480 ncRNA